UACGAAGGGGGCUAGCGUUGUUCGGAUUUACUGGGCGUAAAGCGCACGUAGGCGGAUCGAUCAGUCAGGGGUGAAAUCCCAGAGCUCAACUCUGGAACUGCCUUUGAUACUGUCGAUCUGGAGUAUGGAAGAGGUGAGUGGAAUUCCGAGUGUAGAGGUGAAAUUCGUAGAUAUUCGGAGGAACACCAGUGGCGAAGGCGGCUCACUGGUCCAUUACUGACGUGAGGUGCGAAAGCGUGGGGGAGCAAAACAGG
rnacentral:rRNA from 1 species